AGUGACAGGAGUUCAGCCGUGUGGUCUUGCUUGUUCAGUAUCUCAAGCCCAGAAAGAUGAGUUAAUUCUUGAAGGAAGGGACACUGAACUUGCAUCAAACUCAGCUGCUUUGAUUCAGCAAGCCACAA